rnacentral:rRNA from 1 species
UACGAAGGGUGCAAACGUUGCUCGGAAUUAUUGGGCGUAAAGCGCACGUAGGCGGCUUGGCAAGUUGGAUGUGAAAUCCCUCGGCUCAACCAAGGAAGUGCAUCCAAAACUGCCAAGCUUGAGUACUUAAGAGGAUCGCGGAAUUCCCGGUGUAGAGGUGAAAUUCGUAGAUAUCGGGAGGAACACCAGUGGCGAAGGCGGCGAUCUGGGAAGAUACUGACGCUGAGGUGCGAAAGCGUGGGGAGCAAACAGG